rnacentral:rRNA from 1 species
GAUGAACGCUGGCGGCGUGCCUAAUACAUGCAAGUCGAGCGAACAGACGAGGAGCUUGCUCCUCUGACGUUAGCGGCGGACGGGUGAGUAACACGUGGAUAACCUACCUAUAAGACUGGGAUAACUUCGGGAAACCGGAGCUAAUACCGGAUAAUAUAUUGAACCGCAUGGUUCAAUAGUGAAAGACGGUUUUGCUGUCACUUAUAGAUGGAUCCGCGCCGCAUUAGCUAGUUGGUAAGGUAACGGCUUACCAAGGCGACGAUGCGUAGCCGACCUGAGAGGGUGAUCGGCCAAACUGGAACUGAGACACGGUCCAGACACCCACGGGAGGCAGCAGUAGGGAAUCUUCCGCAAAGGGCGAAAGCCUGACGGAGCAACGCCGCGUGAGUGAUGAAGGUCUUCGGAUCGUAAAACUCUGUUAUUAGGGAAGAACAAAUGUGUAAGUAACUAUGCACGUCUUGACGGUACCUAAUCAGAAAGCCACGGCUAACUACGUG